AAUGACGAAAAUGAUAUUGGUUCGAUUAGUUUCGGUUUCGAUGCGUUUGACAGGGAGACCGAUGGCAAAUCCAGUGCCUGCUUUCUGCCCUGGAAAAUCCGAAGGCAGCCAGACUGCAGGUUGCAAAGGGCAAUCCUUAAAUCUAUCUUAAAUCAUAUCUGUUGUAGGAUUAUAUGUGCCCCCUACCUCCCUAGCUCCCAAUCGAGUAGUUCCGAGAAAUAUGUUCCCAACAAACUCAAAUUUCAAAAGUCAUGCGAGGCAAUGCGGCUUUCUUGGCCAAAAGCAUAAACUGCAUCGCAUUUGUGUUGGUAACUCUAUCUUUGGCCUGCAGCAUUUCCGACCAAUUUAUUAGAAAUUAAUCGAGCAUUUAGAAAGAAGCGAAAACGGCCCUGCAAAAAGGCAAAAAAAAAUCGAAAAAAAAAAUCACAAGAUAUACGAUUCAAUUCUGAGAAUUCUGGGCUGGCCAAGUCAAAAAUGCCGCCGCUUCCAAAGGUUUUGAUGCAACGCGCGUGAACACACAACUUUCUGAUUCCUGACUCCUGCCUCCUGUGAUUUUGGCCACGUCUACGGUUUCUGCCCCCCACCAUCAUCCUUUCUCGAUUCCUGGAAACUGCAGAUGUGGAGAUCCUGGGUGGAAGCCUGGCCACCACCGGAACACCCACCCCCCACCACCCCUGCCUUUCGGAGUGUGGCGCCACUGCUUAUCAGCAUGAGACGCACACAUGUCAGGACACAAAAACAGGAGCCGCACACGGAGCACCGAGAGUUAGUGGAAUGCAUUGUGGACGUUGGAACAAUUGCGUUUUGUAUAUUUUCGUGCCUCGUCAGCAAAAUUAAAAAAUAGAUACGCAAACGUUGGCCUACA